rnacentral:tRNA from 1 species
UCCCUGGUGAUCCAGUGGCUAAGGUUCCAUGCUUCCAAUGCAGGGGGCCCAGGUUCGAUCCCUGGUCAGGGAG